UGGAAGAUGGACAUUUAUGUGAGUGU
rnacentral:piRNA from 1 species